GAUGAACGCUGGCGGCGUGCCUAAUACAUGCAAGUCGAGCGAACAGACGAGGAGCUUGCUCCUCUGACGUUAGCGGCGGACGGGUGAGUAACACGUGGAUAACCUACCUAUAAGACUGGGAUAACUUCGGGAAACCGGAGCUAAUACCGGAUAAUAUAUUGAACCGCAUGGUUCAAUAGUGAAAGACGGUUUUGCUGUCACUUAUAGAUGGAUCCGCGCCGCAUUAGCUAGUUGGUAAGGUAACGGCUUACCAAGGCGACGAUGCGUAGCCGACCUGAGAGGGUGAUCGGCCAAACUGGAACUGAGACACGGUCCAGACUCCUACGGGAGGAAGCAGUAGGGAAUCUUCCGCAAUGGGCGAAAGCCUGACGGAGCAACGCCGCGUGAGUGAUGAAGGUCUUCGGAUCGUAAAACUCUGUUAUUAGGGAAGAACAAAUGUGUAAGUAACUAUGCACGUCUUGACGGUACCUAAUCAGAAAGCCACGGCUAACUACGUG
rnacentral:rRNA from 1 species